AGACUGAGCUUGAAGAGUUGUUCAACUGGAAUCCUAUCGGUGCAUUAAAGAGGAUCUGGGAACAUUAUCUUUUCUUGGACAUGGAUGAUUUUGUUCGUAACAAACUAAGUGAGUGGGGUCUGAGCGAUUUUAUGGAGACUUUUAAAGAUCAAGGAAUCAAUAAGGACCACUUUUACAACCUUGAGGAUGAAGAGAUCAAAGAAUUGAUCCCAAAAGUUGGACCAAGGAAAACAUUCAAGCAAUAUCUCAAGUUGUUAAAGGUUUUGCCAUCCACCAUAGAAACAAAGGAUACAAGUGAG